rnacentral:rRNA from 1 species
GACGAACGCUUGCGGCGUGCUUAACACAUGCAAGUCGAACGGAAAGGCCCUGCUUUUGUGGGGUGCUCGAGUGGCGAACGGGUGAGUAACACGUGAGUAACCUGCCCUUGACUUUGGGAUAACUUCAGGAAACUGGGGCUAAUACCGGAUAGGAGCUCCUGCUGCAUGGUGGGGGUUGGAAAGUUUCGGCGGUUGGGGAUGGACUCGCGGCUUAUCAGCUUGUUGGUGGGGUAGUGGCUUACCAAGGCUUUGACGGGUAGCCGGCCUGAGAGGGUGACCGGCCACAUUGGGACUGAGAUACGGCCCAGACUCCUACGGGAGGCAGCAGUGGGGAAUAUUGCACAAUGGGCGGAAGCCUGAUGCAGCAACGCCGCGUGCGGGAUGACGGCCUUCGGGUUGUAAACCGCUUUCGCCUGUGACGAAGCGUGAGUGACGGUAAUGGGUAAAGAAGCACCGGCUAACUACGUGCCAGCAGCCGCGGUGAUACGUAGGGUGCGAGCGUUGUCCGGAUUUAUUGGGCGUAAAGGGCUCGUAGGUGGUUGAUCGCGUCGGAAGUGUAAUCUUGGGGCUUAACCCUGAGCGUGCUUUCGAUACGGGUUGACUUGAGGAAGGUAGGGGAGAAUGGAAUUCCUGGUGGAGCGGUGGAAUGCGCAGAUAUCAGGAGGAACACCAGUGGCGAAGGCGGUUCUCUGGGCCUUUCCUGACGCUGAGGGGCGAAAGCGUGGGGAGCGAACAGGCUUAGAUACCCUGGUAGUCCACGCUGUAAACGGUGGGUACUAGGUGUGGGGUCCAUUCCACGGGUUCCGUGCCGUAGCUAACGCUUUAAGUACCCCGCCUGGGGAGUACGGCCGCAAGGCUAAAACUCAAAGGAAUUGACGGGGCCCCGCACAAGCGGCGGAGCAUGCGGAUUAAUUCGAUGCAACGCGUAGAACCUUACCUGGGUUUGACAUGGAUCGGGAGUGCUCAGAGAUGGGUGUGCCUCUUUUGGGGUCGGUUCACAGGUGGUGCAUGGCUGUCGUCAGCUCGUGUCGUGAGAUGUUGGGUUAAGUCCCGCAACGAGCGCAACCCUUGUUCACUGUUGCCAGCACGUUAUGGUGGGGACUCAGUGGAGACCGCCGGGGUCAGCUCGGAGGAAGGUGGGGAUGACGUCAAGUCAUCAUGCCCCUUAUGUCCAGGGCUUCACGCAUGCUACAAUGGCUGGUACAGAGAGUGGCGAGCCUGUGAGGGUGAGCGAAUCUCGGAAAGCCGGUCUCAGUUCGGAUUGGGGUCUGCAACUCGACCUCAUGAAGUCGGAGUCGCUAGUAAUCGCAGAUCAGCAACGCUGCGGUGAAUACGUUCCCGGG